AUGACGGGUGGGCCGCCGCUGUUCUGGUCCCGCUUGUCUGCUACUUCGACAGAGAGAUGGACUGGCGCCUAUGACGCCCUGGUCGACUACGCGGUCGCCGCCGUCCGCGAGCCCGGGUGCACGGUGGCUCUCACAGACUUCCACCACUGCGUCGACGCUUCAGCGAGUCCUGCGACCGAGCCGACGGCCUCGUCCAGGUGGCCGCCGCCGGCCUCGGCCCCGCCGCCUCCCGCCACAACGAGAUGUUCCGCGCGCUCAUGGACCUCCACCGCUGCCUCGACGCCUUCAGCGAUUCCCGCGACUGAGCCAAGGGCCUCGUCCAGGCGGCCGCCACGGCCGCGCCGCCUCCCGUCACGACAAGCUGUUCCGUGCCGUGCGCGUGGUCGACAAAGAUCUCCGGGCCGCCGCUGCCGGCUGGGAGAAGAAUCGCCCUCCGACCACGCCACUGGCAGCCGAGGACAAAUAGCCCAAUCAAUCUACCCCGUCUCCUAUUCAGGUGAUUCAAAGAUGAAUGAAACUGUGACGGGAAAGGAGAGAUGGACCGGGAUAUUUUUCCUCGGCAUGUCGCAUGGUGGCCGAGAUGCGGCAGCCCCAUGCUCUGUUCUGAUGGGCCUCCUCUGCUCGAUGUUUGGUACAGUUUCCUGUUGUCGCUUGCGUCGAGCCCUAGGUCCGUCUCUCCUUCUCAUUGAGGUUAGUCCACUCUGCUGGGGGGCUGUUAUUCGGGAUCAUAAUGGAGUAGUCCAAGCAUGUGGAGCAGGAAGAUUGGAGAACCUUGCAAAUCCUCUUCAUGCAGAAGCGUUGGCUGCUCUUUAUGGUGCAAAGCUGGCUGCAUCCAAGGGAAUCACUGCCCUCUACUUUGAAACUGAUUCCAUGCUUUUAAAACAAGGGGCAGAGCAGGAAGAACAAGACCGAUCGAUUGUCUACAGAGUGCUAGCGGAGCUCAAGGAUUUCCUGAGCAAAAACUUUUAUCAGACCACAUUUAGCUUUGCUACCUACUUCUCCUGUCGCUGGCGCUUCUUCUUCUCGUCCGUCCCGCUGCUUAACCAACGUGCUUAUGCUUGCUGCCUCGAGUUGUACGAUCUCUUCUGUCGCUGCGUCGUUCGACUCAUCAAGACUAAGUUUCUGAAAGAAACCGCAGUUCAUUACAACGCCAAUUAUGGAUAUGGAUCCAUCUUGCUACGCUGGAUGAAGGACUGGAUGUCACGACUGAUGAAGUUACUUCCUUUUGGUGAAGGUCUGAAUAUCAUCAGUAUCUUGGCUGAGAGGCUGACAUUUCGGAAGGUUCUCAUCUGUGUAGCGGGAUUUAAUAUCACUUGCUUCUCAGUCUUCUCCACCCUCGACAUGCGUAGGCCAAAAAGGCGGAGACGAGUCAUGAUCCUCCAGGCUAUGGCUGCUGGUUGCAGACAGGGUUUAAGCACAGGAAUCGCAAAAGUUGUGCCCCAUGAGGCCAGUGACCCCCAUGUUAUCUUUAGCUUGGACGAAAAUGAAUGGACGAGCUUCAGUAUGACGAGGAGAGAGCAAUCUUGUUCAGUUUUAAUCGGGACAGAUGAAGGACAACCAUGUAAAAGAUCAGCCUUUGAGUAUAGGACUGAUUUCCAGCAAAAAAAAUGGAGCAGUCAUAGGCCUGUUAUAGAGAUCUUGGUGAAGAACUCGUCACUGCAAUUUUGUCAAAUGGGUGUUGAGAUUGAAGUUUAUGCUUUUGUUGACUUUCUGAUAAAUUACAGCAACAUCGACAAGUACUCUGUGUUGCUAAAUUCAAGCAAGCAGCUUAAUGUUUCCAUAUCAGAGCCCUUGAUCGAGUGUGUGAUAAUUCGAGCCUCCAUGGAAGCAUCAACCGGAUCUGGCUGGCCCACAUACGCACGCCUCCUCUUUGCCCGGUGGCUCAUGGAAGCGGUGGCGUACGAUGAUGGCUUCCAUAUGGAGUAG
rnacentral:rRNA from 1 species